GAACCUGAAACAAGAAAUAACAAAAAGAAAAAGAAAAAUUGUUUAACUAAAACUGAAUUAAUUAAACUGAUAUUGAAAGUAAUAAAAUUAAAAAUUGUCCCCGACAACGGCGCCAAAAACUUGUUGGGUAAAAUCUCAAUUACGCACUGCACACAAUCAACAAGUAAUAUAAUGAUAAGUCAAGUAUCUCUCCAACAGAGACAAAUAUUAAUUUUAAUCUAACAAUUACCAGCUUUGUAUUAUUUCAAUUUUAUUAAACUAAUCGAAUUAAUGAUUGCAAUUAAUAAAAUCUAAUAAACUAGAAAUCAGAAUCAAUCAACACAACUAAUUAUCGCAAAUUUUAAUCAGAUAAUGGAGAUUAAGCCUACAACUUCACUUUAAGCUUCACUCAGAUUAUCACACUUCUUUUCAAUUCAAUUUACUAUCUCAGUUCAUUAAUCAAGAACACUAAAGUAGAAUUAGCCAUCUCUCGCUGCACUAACACCAUAUUAACUUAAUUCCACAAUUGAUAGAAUUAAGCCAAACACCC
rnacentral:lncRNA from 1 species